rnacentral:rRNA from 1 species
AGUGGACGCUGGCGGUAGGCCUAACACAUGCAAGUCGAACGGCAGCACAGUAAGAGCUUGCUCUUACGGGUGGCGAGUGGCGGACGGGUGAGGAAUACAUCGGAAUCUACUUUUUCGUGGGGGAUAACGUAGGGAAACUUACGCUAAUACCGCAUACGACCUACGGGUGAAAGCAGGGGAUCUUCGGACCUUGCGCGAUUGAAUGAGCCGAUGUCGGAUUAGCUAGUUGGCGGGGUAAAGGCCCACCAAGGCGACGAUCCGUAGCUGGUCUGAGAGGAUGAGCAGCCACACUGGAACUGAGACACGGUCCAGACUCCUACGAGAGGCAGCAGUGGGGAAUAUUGGACAAUGGGCGCAAGCCUGAUCCAGCCAUACCGCGUGGGUGAAGAAGGCCUUCGGGUUGUAAAGCCCUUUUGUUGGGAAAGAAAAGCAGCAGGUUAAUACCCCGCUGUUCUGACGGUACCCAAAGAAUAGGCACCGGCUAACUUCG